UACGUAGGGGGCAAGCGUUGUCCGGAUUUACUGGGCGUAAAGGGCGCGUAGGCGGCAAUUCAAGUCAGCUGUGAAAUCUCCGAGCUUAACUCGGAACGGUCAGCUGAUACUGUUUUGCUAGAGUGCAGAAAGGGCAACCGGAAUUCUUGGUGUAGCGGUGAAAUGCGUAGAUAUCAAGAGGAACACCUGAGGCGAAGGCGGGUUGCUAGGCUGACACUGACGCUGAGGCGCGAAAGCUAGGGUAGCAAACGGG
rnacentral:rRNA from 1 species